UAAAAGGCUCGUAACUGAGGCAUAAUACUUGAAAAAAAAUGCUAACUCCCAAAGCUCUGCAUAUGGAUAUUGUGUUAUUCUGAAAUACAACAGAGAACAUUUUCUUCAACCACGAGAUUGUCAAGGACAAUGGCACCUGAGAGAACAAGGUAGCCAAGGGGGUGGGGGACACCACAGAACCUACCUCAACACAAAACUCAUUGUCAGUUUCACAGCUGCUGUAACAUCCAAGAUGACCCAGUAGGACAGCAGCCAGGAAGUCAGGGGGCUGUCUGCUGCAAAGAAUAUGUUCCAGAUUACUUGGCAUUUGGCCCUUCAGCUGUUCUGUAAACCGAUGUGUAAGCUUGUGGGCCAUGGAUUCAGCUGGACCCCUGAAGAAAGGUUACUUUCGCAAGGAAGGUCAGUGGGCCAUAUGAGAAGGCCAGAACAGGACUUGAAUGCAUCUGUGUAGAGACCAUCAUACCGCAAGACAGGUUUAAUGUGUGCUUCAUUCACAACAGCACAAUCCUGCCAAAAUCAAAGUAUGCAUAAGAUGGGGGAAGCCCCGGUGACCCCAGGACAGCAACAAGGCUGCUCUGUGUGGUGCUACCAAAAGAGAAUUCCUCCAGAUGAAAACUGACAUGGGGUUCAGGGGUUAAUUUCUGGAACAGACGCAUUUGCAUACAAAUGAAAAAUGAUGGGAUUUCUCUUCUCCUAAAUUUUCAAUGUCAUCAGCAUCAAACAGCAGUCAGUGCUCCCUUGCUGUUUGAAGAAUAUUCAUUACUUCAGAAGAAGGGGCACCUUGUUUGGUAUUAAUCUCCUCUGCAGGUCAAUGACUUAAUUUGCUAAACUUCAUCUCAAGUGCCAUUCACUUUCAGAGUUUUCAGCUAUUCUUUGUUAUUUUUCAUAACAUGCUCUUAAGGCUCUCCUUUUUUUAUUAAAAGAUGUGUAAGGGAAUACACUUCUCCUGAAAAGUAGGGGAAAGGACAGCAAAAUGACAUUUUAAAAUAAGAGUGUCUUUAAUCACAAUUAUAAACUACCUAUCAUCUCCUUGGUUUGGUUACCCAGCCAGCCAUAUGGCUGGUUUAUAUUUUUACAUGUAUAUACAUUUUACUCUUAACAUGCAUGUUUAAGGAGAAAAGAAACAUUUUUUUCUUUUAAAACAGAUGCAUAAAAGGACAGCUGUUGUCUUGGGCAACAAGGUUACUGGUGUCAUGGUUCUAACAAAAGGUAACAACCAAAACAGUGAUUAAUCCUCUAAAGAGAAUCUUGCAGUCCUUUUGAACUCUUUCCAUUGGAAAUUCUCACCUAAAAACCCAUGACUGAGAAUGUACUUACCAAAACCUCAGUGUGUUAUAUCUUUAUUUUUCAACAUUCCUCUGUGUGCCCGUAAAGAAUCUUUAGCAUCCCAUUUCUCUGUGCAUUUCCUGGGCUAUUUAGGAGUCUUUUCAGAGCAUUCACGUAUAGUAGAGCUGUUGGACAGGGAUUCUUGUUGUUGUUAUUACUGGCAGAUUUUUAGGCCCCAGCCCUUCAAAUGUACAUAUUACAUAGUACAAAUAACAAAAUUAUACCCUAUCCUACCUAACCGACAACACUCCUGCCAAGACCUAAUAAGAAACUGUUAACAAAGAAAGGGGACAAAGUAAUGAAUGGAAAGUCGGCAUCAGACUGGAGAAGACGAGAAAGAGAGAGAAAAUACAAAAGACAAGAAUUUCCAUUGAUAGACCAGUAGGCCUUUUCUGUCCUCAGCCUUUAAUGAUUUUUUUAGGCUUGAAUAUGGGUGCAGGUUAUAGCCUGAACAUUUCUUCAUACCACUAUGGCCAUUUGGUGACUUGUUCCGGAUUCAUGGGCAAGAUCCAACAAAAUUAAUGGCUGCCAUACUGGAGAAACUCAGCAGCUACCUCCUAAGUUUCUACUUCUUAGUUCUCUUCUGUCUAUAGCUGCCAAAGAAAAUAGCAAAGGCUGAAUGAAUGGUUCUUGCAGCAGGCAGACAGGUUGUGACUGUAUACAUCUGUAUACUGUAUCUGGGCUAGGGUUGCCAACCUCCAUGUGGAGCCUGGAGAUCUUCUAGAAUUACAACUGAUCUCCAGAUGACACAGAUUAGUUUCCUUGGAGAACAUUACUGGUUUGAAGGGUAGACUCUAUGGCAUGAUACCCUGCUAAGGUCCCUUCCUUCUUCAAACGCUACCCUUCAUGCCAAAAUCUCCAGAAGUUUCCCAGCCCAGAGCUGGCAAAGAUGCCUGUGAAUCACCACGAGGCGUGAUUGCUGCUCGGGGUGGGGAGAAGCGAGACCAGCUGAUGCCGCCCAGUAAGGACGAAGGGGAGCCACACUAGAAAGGGCUAGUGUCACCAGAAGAAAUGAGGGGCGAGCCGAGACAUACUGCAUUGCCAAUGGCUUUCAAUGCCCUUUGCAACACCACAGUUUUAGUUCACAUACUAUUAUUUAGGUGCCACUUCUUGCCAAAAAAUCUAUAUGCAAUGAAUGUACCCUGUACAAGUGACCCAAAAGCUACUACUUUACUGAAUAAUUCCAGGCAAGCUAUGUCUUACAGCAAGUGUACAGUUGAAACCGAAAACAGCUGCUCAAUCUGAACACAUGAAGCUGCUUUAUACUGAAUCAGACUAUUGAUACAUCAAAGUCAGUACUAUCAACUCAGACUGGACAUGGAUAUGCAGAGUCUCAUAUUACCUAUCAUCUGAUCCUUUUAACUGGUGAUGCGGGGAUUGAACCUGGGACCUUCUGCAGACAAAGCAGAAGCUCUACCACUGAGCCAUAGUUCUUUCCCCCAUCUAGAUCUCCUUAGUUGUAUUAGGACUCUAUUUGGUUCACAUCUGGCAUUAUCAGCUAUGGAUGGUGUAACGAAAGGGCCUAUUAUACUGCGCUGCCACCAAAAUAUAAAUUUUUUCCUUAUAGCCCACAAAAACUGAUUUUCACAGCCACUACCUCCCUUUCGUUUGGGGGAACACAGACACAGACAAAAAUAGAGACUGGAACAGACAAAAACUUAAAACGUUUAUUUUUUGCUUAACAGAGGCUUCUCAGGUAACUUUGAGAGGUUAUUAGCGUGUUGGUUUCAGAGAAAGAUUGCUUUAGCUUAAAGGUUGCAGAUAUGUUACUGGCACUUCACUUCAGUUACAAAACGAACAUGAACACUUGCAGGUGUCACUUUGGUUAAGAUUUUUCCUCAUAAAAGAUUCACUUUAGUAAGAUGUUACUUUGGAGGUUUCACACUCCCUCUUAAGACAGACUUCAGUCCACUGUACCUCACCACAAAAAUAAAACACCAAGUCUACGCCCUGUGGGAUUCAGGCAUAACAGCCUCCCUCUCCCACAAUCCCAAAUUUGGCCUCUCUGCCACAGGACUGGGGCCUCUCAAGACUUGUGUUAACUUGGAGGACAGACUUUUAGGCUUUUAAGAGGUUUCCCUCAAAAACACCUGAGGGCGGACUCUCUCCUCCAACUCAGGGUUUCAGAUGUUUCAAAUAGCUUCCUCAGCUAUUACUAAAU